GGGUGAGAUGAUGAUGGUUAAUUUGUUUCCCUAUUGAUUUGAUGGCCAAGAUGAUGGCGCUUGCUGUAUUAGCUCUAUCUGAUCACUC